rnacentral:rRNA from 1 species
AUUGAACGCUGGCGGCAUGCCUUACACAUGCAAGUCGAACGGCAGCACGGGAGCAAUCCUGGUGGCGAGUGGCGAACGGGUGAGUAAUACGUCGGAACGUGCCCAGUAGUGGGGGAUAGCCCGGCGAAAGCCGGAUUAAUACCGCAUGAGACCUGAGGGUGAAAGCGGGGGAUCGCAAGACCUCGCGCUAUUGGAGCGGCCGAUGUCAGAUUAGCUAGUUGGUAGGGUAAAGGCCGACCAAGGCAACGAUCUGUAGUUGGUCUGAGAGGACGACCAGCCACACUGGGACUGAGACACGGCCCAGACUCCUACGGGAGGCAGCAGUGGGGAAUUUUGGACAAUGGGCGCAAGCCCGAUCCAGCAAUGCCGCGUGCAGGAAGAAGGCCUUCGGGUUGUAAACUGCUUUUGUCAGGGAAGAAAUCUUCUGGCUAAUACCCUGGGAGGAUGACGGUACCUGAAGAAUAAGCACCGGCUAACUACGUGCCAGCCGCCGCCGUAACAC